rnacentral:rRNA from 1 species
CAGUCACACGAGUUUGAUCCUGGCUCAGGAUGAACGCUAGCGGCGGGCUUAAUACAUGCAAGUCGAACGGUAACAGGUCUUCGGACGCUGACGAGUGGCGCACGGGUGCGUAACGCGUACACAACCUACCCUAAAGAGGGGGAUAGCUCCGGGAAACUGGGAAUAAUACCCCAUAGUACUACUAAGUUGCAUAAUUUGGUAGUUAAAGGUUUACUGCUUUAGGAUGGGUGUGCGAGCCAUUAGGUAGUUGGAGAGGUAACGGCUCACCAAGCCGACGAUGGCUAGCUGGUCUGAGAGGAUGAUCAGCCACACUGGGACUGAGACACGGCCCAGACUCCUACGGGAGGCAGCAGUGGGGAAUAUUGGACAAUGGGCGCAAGCCUGAUCCAGCCAUGCCGCGUGAGUGAUGACGGCCUUAGGGUUGUAAAGCUCUUUCAACGGUGAAGAUAAUGACGGUAACCGUAGAAGAAGCCCCGGCUAACUUCGUG